rnacentral:lncRNA from 1 species
CACACUAAUGGUAGGGAUUGGAUAAGAUGACACUUUUAUAAGGAAAUGCAUUUGGCAGGCUAUUUGUAAUGUGUUGCAAAUAUAAGAUAUUCUAAACUGGUUGUUCAGAUAUUCUUUGUUAUGUACGUGGAUGUGAUGACUGAAUAUGUGUAACAUUCAUUUUGUAUUCCUAGCAUUCUAUGUGUGGUAUUAAUCUCCCCCUAAUGCCUGGAAUUAUCCUCAAACUAUGAUCG